AUGUUGACCUCUGGUGAUGAUAUUCAUAACUGGUGUGCUCCCUUGGGGAGUCACGGCGGGAGCAAUGAAUUCCUUGAUUUGGAACUGUUGGGGGCGGGGAACCGCCAGAUAGUUCGUGGGGUGUUGGCCCUCUCUAAAACCAAUGUCCCCAAGCUUGUCUUUCUCUGUGAGACGAGGCAAGCAGCUGAUAAGAUGGAAAAGCUAAGGUGGAGGCUAGGUUUGAAAGGUUUCUGUGGUGUUAGUUCUGUGGGACUAAGUGGUGGCCUUGCUCUAUAUUGGGAUGAAUCAUUACUAGUCAUGGUGCUAGACUCGUGUCAGCGUUUUAAUGAUGUUUCCGUGGAGGACAAGGGUUGUGAUAAAAAGUGGCGUACGACCUUUGUAUAUGGAGGGACAAGGGUUGAGAAUCGGCACCGCAUGUGGGAUCAUCUCACUCAUUUGAAAUCGGUUCGCAAGAUCCUUGGCUAG
rnacentral:rRNA from 1 species